rnacentral:rRNA from 1 species
CGGCAGCGCGAGAGAGCUUGCUCUCUUGGCGGCGAGUGGCGGACGGGUGAGUAAUAUAUCGGAACGUGCCCAGUAGCGGGGGAUAACUACUCGAAAGAGUGGCUAAUACCGCAUACGCCCUACGGGGGAAAGGGGGGGAUCGCAAGACCUCUCACUAUUGGAGCGGCCGAUAUCGGAUUAGCUAGUUGGUGGGGUAAAGGCUCACCAAGGCAACGAUCCGUAGCUGGUUUGAGAGGACGACCAGCCACACUGGGACUGAGACACGGCCCAGACUCCUACGGGAGGCAGCAGUGGGGAAUUUUGGACAAUGGGGGAAACCCUGAUCCAGCCAUCCCGCGUGUAUGAUGAAGGCCUUCGGGUUGUAAAGUACUUUUGGCAGAGAAGAAAAGGUAUCCCCUAAUACGGGAUACUGCUGACGGUAUCUGCAGAAUAAGCACCGGCUAACUACGUGCCAGCAGCCGCGGUAAUACGUAGGGUGCAAGCGUUAAUCGGAAUUACUGGGCGUAAAGCGUG